GCUGGGCUCUGUGCUCCUCUCCUGCUCCAGCCUGGGACAGAGAGUGCCUGAGUUUGCCCUUACAAAAACAGAAGAGAGCGACAUAAAAGAUGACAGUGGGAAGGAGCUCGGGACAGAGGAUGACGCUGAUCCUGAAGACCUGGAAGUGUUUUACCCCACGGGUCAGUGGCAAACCCUGCGUCCAGCCUCUGGUGGAUCGCCUUACGGAGGAGGACAAGGAGCGACUGGGGAAGAAACUGCUUCUAGUCCUAC